rnacentral:rRNA from 1 species
UCGUCAAGGUUUGUUGCUUGAAGACUCGGCAAGACCUUAGACGCAAACGUUAAUCGUCAUAAUCAGGCGUAAAGGGUGUGUAGGCUGCUUUAAAAAAUAUAAUAAGUAAUAUAAUUAUUAUAGCAAAAAAAUUAUAUUUUAAUAAAAGCUAGAAUCUAAAAGAGGGUAAGCUAAACAACAUAAUUAACUGGGACUGACAACUUAUAAUAAUGUGGAGUACUAAAGGUUAAAGCUAUUUAUCUACUGAAGAUUGACGCUGAGAAACGAAGGGGAGAAUAAGAAACUUAGAUUAGAGACCUAAUUAUCUCUCUCAGUCAACGAUGAAUGGUAGUUAUUAAAAAUUUUAUAAUUUUAGUAACGAGGUUAACACGAUGACCAUUCCGCCUUGUUAGUAAGACUGCGAAGUUGAAAACAAAAAAAUUAUUCGGUCUUGAAGCAAACAAAGUGAAGCAUGUG